UACGGAGGGUGCGAGCGUUGUCCGGAAUCACUGGGCGUAAAGGGCGCGUAGGUGGCGACCCAAGUCAACGGUGAAAGCCCGGCGCUUAACGCCGAGUCGGCCGUCGAUACUGGGUGGCUCGAGCACUGUAGAGGCAGAUGGAAUUCCGGGUGUAGCGGUGGAAUGCGUAGAGAUCCGGAAGAACACCGGUGGCGAAGGCGGUCUGCUGGGCAGUUGCUGACACUGAGGCGCGACAGCGUGGGGAGCAAACAGG
rnacentral:rRNA from 1 species